AGCGAACGCUGGCGGCAGGCCUAACACAUGCAAGUCGAACGAACCUUUCGGGGUUAGUGGCGGACGGGUGAGUAACACGUGGGAACGUGCCUUUAGGUUCGGAAUAACUCAGGGAAACUUGUGCUAAUACCGAAUGUGCCCUUCGGGGGAAAGAUUUAUCGCCUUUAGAGCGGCCCGCGUCUGAUUAGCUAGUUGGUUGAGGUAAUGGCUCACCAAGGCGACGAUCAGUAGCUGGUCUGAGAGGAUGAUCAGCCACAUUGGGACUGAGACACGGCCCAAACUCAUACGGGAGGCAGCAGUGGGGAAUCUUGCGCAAUGGGCGAAAGCCUGACGCAGCCAUGCCGCGUGAAUGAUGAAGGUCUUAGGAUUGUAAAAUUCUUUCAACGGGGACGAUAAUGACGGUACCCGGAGAAGAAGCCCCGGCUAACUUCGUG
rnacentral:rRNA from 1 species